rnacentral:tRNA from 1 species
GGUACUAUAUUUUAAUUAGAAAAUUUAAUUUGCAUUUAAAAAGUAAGAUAAAAAUCUUUUUUACCA